GAUGAACGCUGGCGGCGUGCCUAAUACAUGCAAGUCGAGCGAACAGACGAGGAGCUUGCUCCUCUGCCGUUAGCGGCGGACGGGUGAGUAACACGUGGAUAACCUACCUAUAAGACUGGGAUAACUUCGGGAAACCGGAGAUAAUACCGGAUAAUAUAUCGAACCGCAUGGUUCAAUAGUGAAAGACGGUUUUGCUGUUACUUAUAGAUGGAUCCGCGCCGCAUUAGCUAGUUGGUAAGGUAACGGCUUACCAAGGCAACGAUGCGUAGCCGACCUGAGAGGGUGAUCGGCCACACUGGAACUGAGACACGGUCCAGACUCCUACGGGAGGCAGCAGUAGGGAAUCUUCCGCAAUGGGCGAAAGCUUGACGGAGCAACGCCGCGUGAGUGAUGAAGGUCUUCGGAUCGUAAAACUCUGUUAUUAGGGAGGAACAAAUGUGUAAGUAACUAUGCACGUCUUGACGGUACCUAAUCAGAAAGCCACGGCUAACUACGUG
rnacentral:rRNA from 1 species